rnacentral:rRNA from 1 species
UACGGGGGGGGCUAGCGUUGUUCGGAAUUACUGGGCGUAAAGGGCGCGUAGGCGGCCCACUAAGUCGGACGUGAAAUCCCUCGGCUCAACCGGGGAACUGCGUCCGAUACUGGUGGGCUCGAAUCCGGGAGAGGGAUGUGGAAUUCCAGGUGUAGCGGUGAAAUGCGUAGAUAUCUGGAGGAACACCGGUGGCGAAGGCGGCAUCCUGGACCGGUAUUGACGCUGAUGCGCGAAAGCCAGGGGAGCAAACGGG